rnacentral:rRNA from 1 species
AUUGAACGCUGGCGGCAUGCCUAACACAUGCAAGUCGAACGGUAACAGGCCCGCAAGGGUGCUGACGAGUGGCAGACGGGUGAGUAAUACGUAGGAAUCUGCCCUGUAGUGGGGGAUAGCCCGGCGAAAGCCGGAUUAAUACCGCAUACGCUCUACGGAGGAAAGCGGGGGAUCGCAAGACCUCGCGCUAUUGGAUGAGCCUACGUCUGAUUAGCUAGUUGGUAGGGUAACGGCCUACCAAGGCGACGAUCAGUAGCUGGUCUGAGAGGAUGAUCAGCCACACCGGAACUGAGACACGGUCCGGACUCCUACGGGAGGCAGCAGUGGGAAAUAUUGGACAAUGGGGGAAACCCUGAUCCAGCAAUGCCGCGUGUGUGAAGAAGGCCUGCGGGUUGUAAAGCACUUUUGUUGGGGAAGAAAAGCCGUCGGCGAAUAUCCGGNGGUCUUGACGGUACCCAAAGAAUAAGCACCGGCUAACUCCGUGCCAGCAGCCGCGGUAAUACGGGA